GCGAGAGUAGUACUAGGAUGGGUGACCCCAUGGGAAGUCCUCGUGUUGCAUCCC
rnacentral:rRNA from 1 species